GCGCUUGCUUCAGCAGCACGUAUACUAAAAUUGGAAGGAUACAGAGAUUAGCGUGUCCCCUGCACAAGGACGAUGUGCAAAUACGUGAAUCAUUCUAUAUUAAA